CAAGAGCGUAUGUAAAAGUUGUUGCAGUUAAAAAGCUCGUAGUUGAACCUUGGGUUUGGUUGGCCGGUCCGCUUUUUUGCGAGUACUGGAUUCAACCGAGCCUUACCUUCUGGCUAACCAGUCGUUUCGGCGGCUGGCGAACCAGGAUUUUUACUUUGAGAAAAUUAGAGUGUUCAAAGCAGGCAUUAGCUUGAAUAUAUUAGCAUGGAAUAAUAGAAUAGGACGUUAUGGUUCUAUUUUGUUGGUUUCUAGGACCAUCGUAAUGAUUAAUAGGGACGGUCGGGGGCAUCAGUAUUCAGUUGUCAGAGGUGAAAUUCUUGGAUUUACUGAAGACUAACUACUGCGAAAGCAUUUGCCAAGGACGUUUUCAUUAA
rnacentral:rRNA from 1 species